AUUGAACGCUGGCGGCAUGCCUUACACAUGCAAGUCGAACGGCAGCAUGGAGAGCUUGCUCUCUGAUGGCGAGUGGCGAACGGGUGAGUAAUGCAUCGGAACGUACCGUGUAAUGGGGGAUAACGUAGCGAAAGUUACGCUAAUACCGCAUACGACCUGAGGGUGAAAGCAGGGGAUCGCAAGACCUUGCGUUAUACGAGCGGCCGAUGUCAGAUUAGCUAGUUGGUGAGGUAAAGGCUCAACAAGGCGACGAUCUGUAGCGGGGCUGAGAGGAUGGUCCGCCACACUGGGACUGAGAAACGGCCCAGACUCCUACGGGGGGCAGCAGUGGGGAAUUUUGGACAAUGGGGGCAACCCUGAUCCAGCCAUGCCGCGUGAGUGAAGAAGGCCUUCGGGUUGUAAAGCUCUUUCGGCCGGGAAGAAAUCGCACAGGCUAAUACUCUGUGUGGAUGACGGUACCGGCAUAAGAAGCACCGGCUAACUACGUGCCAGCCGCCGCCGUAA
rnacentral:rRNA from 1 species